rnacentral:rRNA from 1 species
UACGGAGGGUGCAAGCGUUAUCCGGAUUCACUGGGUUUAAAGGGUGCGUAGGAGGGCAGGUAAGUCAGUGGUGAAAUCUCCAAGCUUAACUUGGAAACUGCCGUUGAUACUAUCAAUCUUGAAUAUCGCGUAGGUAAGCGGAAUAUGUCAUGUAGCGGUGAAAUGCUUAGAUAUGACAUAGAACACCAAUUGCGAAGGCAGCUUACUUCACGAUCAUUGACACUGAGGCACGAAAGCGUGGGGAGCAAACAGG